AAGGGUAUAGCUCAGUGGUAGAGUGUGUGCUUAGCACGCAGGGGGUCCUGGGUUCAAUCCCCAGUAUCUCCG
rnacentral:tRNA from 1 species